rnacentral:rRNA from 1 species
GACGAACGCUGGCGGCGUGCUUAACACAUGCAAGUCGAACGGACCUUCGGGUUAGUGGCGAACAGGUGAGUAACACGUGGGUGAUCUGCCCUGCACUUUGGGAUAAGCCUGGGAAACUGGGUCUAAUACCGGAUAGGACUACGCACUGCAUGGUGUGUGGUGGAAAGCUUUUGCGGUGUGGGAUGGGCCCGCGGCCUAUCAGCUUGUUGGUGGGGUGAUGGCCUACCAAGGCGACGACGGGUAGCCGGCCUGAGAGGGUGACCGGCCACACUGGGACUGAGAUACGGCCCAGACUCCUACGGGAGGCAGCAGUGGGGAAUAUUGCACAAUGGGCGCAAGCCUGAUGCAGCGACGCCGCGUGAGGGAUGACGGCCUUCGGGUUGUAAACCUCUUUCGCCAGGGGCGAAGCGCAAGUGACGGUACCUGGAGAAGAAGGACCGGCCAACUACGUGCCAGCAGCCGCAGUAA